rnacentral:misc_RNA from 1 species
ACAAAAAGUUCUAGUGUUCCUGACUUCAUCACAAGGAUGUUAAUAGUUCAAUCAAGAAAAACAAAAAUGAGCCAUAAAGCUUCCUCAUGGCCGGCCUAUACACAUACUACACAGGUGAAAUUCCUCGGGCAAGGGUUUGAAGAUAAGGGACUUACAAUACAAGUAGUGGAAAUUACGGCUUUUGGGACACCGGAGAAUGCCCUGUCAACGAGGAUCCUAACUGAAGC